rnacentral:rRNA from 1 species
CCUACGGGAGGCAGCAGUGGGGAAUUUUGGACAAUGGGCGCAAGCCUGAUCCAGCAAUGCCGCGUGAGUGAAGAAGGCCUUCGGGUUGUAAAGCUCUUUUGUCAGGGAAGAAACGGGUUUGGCUAAUAUCCAGACCUAAUGACGGUACCCCGAAGAAUAAGCACCGGCUAACUACGUGCCAGCAGCCGCGGUAAUACGUAGGGUGCAAGCGUUAAUCGGAAUUACUGGGCGUAAAGCGUUGCGCAGGCGGUUUUAGAAGUUUGUCGUGAAAUCCCCGGGCUCAACCUGGGAAUGGCGAUGAAGACUGCAAGGCUAGAGUUUGGCAGAGGGGGGUAGAAUUCCACGUGUAGCAGUGAAAUGCGUAGAUAUGUGGAGGAACACCGAUGGCGAAGGCAGCCCCCUGGGUCAAGACUGACGCUCAUGCACGAAAGCGUGGGGAGCAAACAGGAUUAGAUACCCUGGUAGUCCACGGCCCUAAACGAUGUCUACUAGUUGUCGGGUCUUUAUUGACUUGGUAACGCAGCUAACGCGUGAAGUAGACCGCCUGGGGAGUACGGUCGCAAGNUUAAAACNCAAAGGAUUGACGGCNGAGAGNGCGAGACGACGACGAGGGAGAGG